UGUGAGACAGGUGCUGCAUGGCUGUCGUCAGCUCGUGUUGUGAAAUGUUGGGUUAAGUCCCGCAACGAGCGCAACCCUUAUCCUUUGUUGCCAGCGGUCCGGCCGGGAACUCAAAGGAGACUGCCAGUGAUAAACUGGAGGAAGGUGGGGAUGACGUCAAGUCAUCAUGGCCCUUACGACCAGGGCUACACACGUGCUACAAUGGCGCAUACAAAGAGAAGCGACCUCGCGAGAGCAAGCGGACCUCAUAAAGUGCGUCGUAGUCCGG
rnacentral:rRNA from 1 species